rnacentral:tRNA from 1 species
GCCUUCUUAGCUCAGUGGUAGAGCGUUGCACUUGUAUAACAUACGACCAAUCCAACUUGGUACAUUAAUGCAAAGGUCAGUCGUUCAAUCCGGCUAGGAGGCA